AAUUAUAAAAACAAAAUUAUUCGCCAGAGUACUACCGGCAACAGCCCGAAACUCAAAGGACUUGGCGGUGCUUUAUACCCUUCUAGAGGAGCCUGUUCUAUAAUCGAUAAACCCCGAUAAACCUCACCAAUCCUUGCUAAUACAGUCUAUAUACCGCCAUCUUCAGCAAACCCUAAAAAAGGGACAAAAGUAAGCUCAAUAAUAACACAUAAAGACGUUAGGUCAAGGUGUAACCUAUGGAGUGGGAAGAAAUGGGCUACAUUUUCUACCCAAGAAAAUUUAAUACGAAAGCCAUUAUGAAAUUAAUAGCCAAAGGAGGAUUUAGCAGUAAACUAAGAAUAGAGUGCUUAGUUGAAUCAGGCCAUGAAGCACGCACACACCGCCCGCCC
rnacentral:rRNA from 1 species